rnacentral:rRNA from 1 species
UAAUACGAGGGGUGCUAGCGUUGUCCGGAAUCACUGGGCGUAAAGGGUCCGUAGGCGUUUUGCUAAGUUGAUUGUUAAAUCCAUCGGCUCAACCGAUGAUCUGCAAUCAAAACUGGUAGAAUAGAGUUCGAGAGAGGAAAGUAGAAUUCCUGGUGUAGCGGUGACAUGCGUAGAUAUCAGGAGGAACACCAAUGGCGAAGGCAGCUUUCUGGCUCGAUACUGACGCUGAGGGACGAAAGCGUGGGGAGCGAACAGGAUUAGAUACCCUGGUAGUCCACGCCGUAAACGAUGAGUACUUGAUGUCGGGGGAUUCGACCCCUUCGGUGUCGUAGCUAACGCGAUAAGUACUCCGCCUGGGGACUACGACCGCAAGGUUG